UGAAGGUGACUUCUUCGGAAUUCAUUACAUUAGUGUGAGCCACAUCAUGCACCUCCUCCUGUGUGUGCCUUGUGGGUACAGUUGCUCACCAGAGGAGAUUGUCUCUCACCUUUGAUACUGGAAGAAUACAGUGCCUAAAACAGCCCAAGAUGUCCUUGUUCUAAGUCGUAGCAUCAUCUUCUCCUCACGGCCCUGCUACCUUUGCAUCGAACACUUCUGCUGCUGUAAAGAUACCAAAAGGUUUUAAUUACAAUUAAGCCAAGUCAUUUCUACAGUUUCGAGCUGCAAAUAAACAGCCUGUUUUGGAUAAUGAAGAAAAUAUGUGGUACCUGGGUAACAACAUGAUGCUUUGACAUUUCCCUCCUGGAUGCCAGCUGGACUGCUGACAGCUGUUGUCGUUGGUGCUUGCAUUCCUGGGACUGCUUUCCUGCAGAUGUUUACACACCGGCUGGCUGGGGAUGGAGGACAGGAAUACCCUGGACCCUGCUAAUGUCCCUCCAUCACUGUCUGUGUCCUGCUGUCACCUGCCAUCAGAAAUAUGUCAUCAUGCUGUGCUCUACUGCCCUCCUGCUGAUGGGCAAGGAACAGGAAGAAGGUUCCCAAAUUGCUGGAAAGAUCAUUGCUGGACUAAUGGAAAUGUUGCUAGGAAAGUUACAAGGAUCAGGAGCUGCCUUCUUUUUCUGCAGCUGGCCUGGUUGGAUUUGUUGGAUGAAGUGACCUAGUUGAGUUUACAGGAUCCUAAGGGUUUUGUCUGGAGCUAAAGCAAAUCCCAUUUAGGACCAAGGAAAUACAUUCUUUCGAGAGACCAAGUUAAAAAGUCUGCAGAUGGAGACCUAUCCUCCCUUGCUCCCUUUCCUUUGUCUUGAUGCAGUCAUGGUAAUGGCUUACUUGAGUCAGUUGUUAACACCAAUUUUAAAGACACAUGUGCACAUA